AACGAACGCUGGCGGCGUGCUUAACACAUGCAAGUCGGACGCGAAAGCCCUUCGGGGUGAGUAGAGUGGCGCACGGGUGAGUAAUAAAUAGGAACGUACCUACGGGUGGGAAUAACUUCGGGAAACCGGAGCUAAUACCGCAUGAGAUCGAGAGAUUAAAGGAGGCCUAUCCUUGGAAGCUUUCGCCUGUAGAUCGGCCUACUUCCCAUUAGCUAGUUGGUAGGGUAAUGGCCUACCAAGGCUACGAUGGGUAGCUGGUCUGAGAGGAUGAUCAGCCACACUGGAACUGAGAUACGGUCCAGACUCCUACGGGAGGCAGCAGUGGGGAAUUUUGCACAAUGGGCGCAAGCCUGAUGCAGCAACGUCGCGUGAGUGAAGAAGGCCCUUGGGUUGUAAAGCUCUUUCGGCUGGGAAGAGGGGUUCUCUAAGUAACUAUAGAGGAUCUGACGGUACCAGAAGAAGAAGCACUGGCUAAUUCCGUGCCAGCCGCCGCGGUAA
rnacentral:rRNA from 1 species